rfam:Myotis brandtii contig197366, whole genome shotgun sequence.
UGUGCACCAGUGGGGUCCCUUGGCCUAGCCUGCAAUCCAGGACCCCUCGGGGGAUGUUGGAGAGAUGGUUCCAGCCUGAUCCUGCAGGCCAGGCCGAGGGACCCCACUGGUGCACG